rnacentral:rRNA from 1 species
GACGAACGCUGGCGGCGUGCUUAACACAUGCAAGUCGAACGGAAAGGCCCUGCUUUUGUGGGGUGCUCGAGUGGCGAACGGGUGAGUAACACGUGAGUAACCUGCCCUUGACUUUGGGAUAACUUCAGGAAACUGGGGCUAAUACCGGAUAGGAGCUCCUGCUGCAUGGUGGGGGUUGGAAAGUUUCGGCGGUUGGGGAUGGACUCGCGGCUUAUCAGCUUGUUGGUGGGGUAGUGGCUUACCAAGGCUUUGACGGGUAGCCGGCCUGAGAGGGUGACCGGCCACAUUGGGACUGAGAUACGGCCCAGACUCCUACGGGAGGCAGCAGUGGGGAAUAUUGCACAAUGGGCGGAAGCCUGAUGCAGCAACGCCGCGUGCGGGAUGACGGCCCUCGGGUUGUAAACCGCUUUCGCCUGUGACGAAGCGUGAGUGACGGUAAUGGGUAAAGAGGCACCGGCUAACUACGUG